rnacentral:sRNA from 1 species
UAUUCAAAGACAGUAACUUUAGAGGGAUUUUCAGUUGCUAUGACACAGUUGCUUGGAAUUAAUCUGGGAUUGACAUAUGAUGACAUCUACAACUGUAACUGUCCAGGAGCUACAUGCGUAAUGAAUUCUAAGGCAAUGAGUGCCAGUGGUAGAAAGAUUUUUAGCAACUGCAGCAUGCACGACUAUAGAUAUUUUGUUUCAAAAUUUGAGACUAAAUGCCUUCAGAAGCUUUCAAAUUUGCAACCAUUACAUCAAAAUCAACCGGUGUGUGGUAAUGGGAUUUUGGAAUCCAAUGAAGAAUGUGACUGUGGUAAUAAAAAU